rnacentral:rRNA from 1 species
GACGAACGCUGGCGGCGUGCUUAACACAUGCAAGUCGAACGGUGAUGCUCCAGCUUGCUGGCGUGGAUCAGUGGCGAACGGGUGAGUAACACGUGAGCAACCUGCCCCAGACUCUGGAAUAAGCGCUGGAAACGGCGUCUAAUACUGGAUACGAAACUGGCCCGCAUGGGCAUGGUUUGGAAAGUUUUUCGGUUUGGGAUGGGCUCGCGGCCUAUCAGCUUGUUGGUGAGGUAAUGGCUCACCAAGGCGACGACGGGUAGCCGGCCUGAGGGGGCGACCGGCCACACUGGGACUGAGACACGGCCCAGACUCCUACGGGAGGCAGCAGUGGGGAAUAUUGCACAAUGGGCGAAAGCCUGAUGCAGCGACGCCGCGUGAGGGAUGACGGCCUUCGGGGUGUAAACCUCUUUCAGCAGGGAAGAAGCGAAAGUGACGGUACCUGCAGAAGAAGCACCGGCUAACUACGUG